CGGGACUGAGACACUGCCCGGACUCCUACGGGAGGCUGCAGUCAAGAAUCUUCCGCAAUGGCCGAAAGGCUGACGGAGCGACGCCGCGUGCAGGAUGAAGGCCUUCGGGUCGUAAACUGCUUUUAUUAGGGAAAAAUUUCUGAUUGUACCUAAUGAAUAAGGGACUGCUAACUUCGUGCCAGCAGCAGCGGUAAUACGAAGGUCCCAAGCGUUGUCCGGUGUUAUUAGGCGUAAAGCGUCCGCAGGUUGUUUAGCGCAUCUUUGGUCAAAUCUAUGGGCUCAACCCAUAAACCGCCAAAGAGAUGGCUAAACUAGAGGCAGGGAGAGGCACAUGGAAUGGCUGGUGUAGUAGUAAAAUGCGUUAAUAUCAGCUAGAACACCAAAAGCGAAAGCAAUGUGCUGGAACUGUCCUGACACUCAUGGACGAAAGCGUGGGUAGCGAAUGGGAUUAGAUACCCCAGUAGUCCACGCCGUAAAUGUUGGAUACUAGAUAUUGGAAGUAUCGACCCUUUCAGUGUCGUUUACCGAAGUUAACACCUUAAGUAUCCCGCCUGGGGAGUACGGCCGCAAGGCUAAAACUCAAAGGAAUUGACGGGGGCCCGCACAAGCAGCGGAGCGUGUGGUUUAAUUCGAUGCAACGCGAAGAACCUUACCAAGGCUUGACAUGCUGGAAGUAGUGAACCGAAAGGGGAUCGACCUGUUAAGUCAGGAGCCAGCACAGGUGCUACAUGGCUGUCGUCAGCUCGUGCCGUGAGGUGUUUGGUUAAGUCCUGCAACGAGCGCAACCCUUAUUGCUAGUUGUUUUUUCUAGCGAGACUGCCCCGCAAAACAGGGAGGAAGGUGGGGAUGACGUCAAGUCAGCACGGCCCUUAUGCCUUGGGCUACACACACGCUACAAUGGGUGGUACAGUAGGUUGCAAUGGAGCGAUCCGGAGCUAAUCCCUAAAGCCAUCCUCAGUUCGGAUUGCAGGCUGAAACUCGCCU
rnacentral:rRNA from 1 species